GCCGGGCGUGGUGGUGCAUGCCUGUAAUCCCAGCUACUCAGGAGGCUGAGGCAGGAGAAUCGCUUGAACCCAGGAGGCGGAGGUUGCAGUGAGCCGAGAUCGCACCACUGCACUCCAGCCUGGGUGACAGAGUGACACUUUGUCUCAA
rnacentral:SRP_RNA from 1 species